rnacentral:piRNA from 1 species
UGAAUAAAGAAAAGUAACGGUGUCGAUGAC